CCUACGGGAGGCAGCAGUGGGGAAUAUUGCACAAUGGGGGAAACCCUGAUGCAGCGACGCCGCGUGAGUGAAGAAGGAUUUCGGUACGUAAAGCUCUAUCAGCAGGGAAGAAAAUGACGGUACCUGACUAAGAAGCCCCGGCUAACGACGUGCCAGCAGCCGCGGUAAUACGUAGGGGGCAAGCGUUAUCCGGAUUUACGGGGUGUCCAGGGAGCGUAGACGGCAGCGCAAGUCUGAAGUGAACUCCCAUGGCUUAACCCUGGAACUGCUUUGGAAACUGUGCAGCUGGAGUGCAGGAGAGGUAAGCGGCCUUCCUCUUGUAGCGGUGCACUGCGUAGCUAUUAGGAGGAACCCCAGUGGCGCAGGCGGCUUACUGGACUGUACCUGCCGUUGCGGCUCGAACGCGUGGGGAGCAAACCGGAUUAGCUACCCGUGUAGUC
rnacentral:rRNA from 1 species